rnacentral:lncRNA from 1 species
UGAGUGAACUUUUCAUAGAGGUCAGACAUAUAUGCAGCUAUGAGCAACCAACAAGGAUCAUCCUUAUCAUAUCUCUUAGUAGCGGCGAUCGUUGAUCCAUGCUCAGGUAUUGAGUUGUGAACUCAGAUAGGUGUAGAUAUGAUCUACCGCUUAUAUCCAUGCAUGUAGAUUUUAUCUUCAGUAUUUUUUAAAUUUUAUAUGCAACAUAUCAUGUCAC